rnacentral:lncRNA from 1 species
AGUCAGCCCCAUUUUGUGGAUCUGUUGUACUGAAGCUGUAGUGAGUGAGGAUUUGCCUAGAAGAUUGUGGGCUUGGGAUGAAGGGACAAUUGAAGACUGCAGACGGGUUUGACUGGCCAAGUGACCAGCAUGUGCAAAGACAGGGAGAAGAGAAACAAUGUGGUAUAAAUUGUGGAGUUCUAUGUUGCAACAUCUGGCUGAAUUGUACCUUAUACGUUGAAUGUUGUUAAGGAAGAAAGCCCUGAGAUUGUGUUCGGAUCAAGAAGGACCCAUUUGGACAUGAGAAGGAGUUUGGACUAGGCAUCAUUGGAGGACUGU